rnacentral:lncRNA from 1 species
CCUGCGCGCUUCCGGCACCCACAGUCGGGUUCCAGGUUCCACCGUGGCGCUCCAGAGCGCCGCGCUUCUCGGGCGCACCUCUUCUCUGCCCUCUGUCACCUCAUACCCGUCAGUCCGCUCAGGACUGAUGAACCAAGUACUUUCUGAUGGAGACCGAGUUGGUCGAUGAGGCAGAGCUCAGGGGUUACCUAGUUGGGGCCAGGGUAAGGGAACAAAUGGAAAGAGCGGUUCGUAAAUCUUUAAACAGCUCUUAGAGGUUAUUUGCAAGAAUAAUUCCUAAGCAUCGGAAAUGCUGGGACAUUCUUGUGUGGGAGAAGUGUGCACACAACAAACAUAUCUUUCAGAAAGUCGAAAUGAGAUAGAUGAGAGAGGGUAGUAAAUAUAAAGUAGCAAUGGCAGGUUGCAAUGAAGAUACCGGGGCUUAGUUAAGCAAAGCAGUCGUGUUAAGGAAGACUAUUACGGCAUUAUUACUCUUCGACAAGGUGCAUAGCUUUUCCCAUUGAUAAUGGGAAAUGGUUAUGUCUCUGUGUUAGUGCGCAAGCAUUAUGCUCAAGGAGGAGAAAAGUUUAGCAUAAAAAGCCCAUGGAGUUUUAGACUUCAACCGAAUUCUUCCCCAAGUGCAUCAUCUUAGAAUAUAAAACACAGUCCUGGAUGACUGUAACCCCCAAAUUCAAGAAAAGGCAAAUUCAGAAAAUAGGUAAAUUCAAAAAAGUUUGUAGUCUCAUGCUAUUAAAUUUUUUCUGUGUGCUCAUAUAUUGCUCCCUUCCCCAAAGUUUACAACUAACCAGAUUUUCAAUGGCUCUAGCACCUACAGAAAGAACUACUGACAUACCUAAAAAGAGCUUUAACAUCAAAGGUAAUUUGUACUGGCUGAGCGUCCUGGCUUUGGAACAUUGUGAUCUAGCGAUGUGCCUCUGGGCAUGGGUUCAUCACUGGAGAAAUGAAAGUUAGAAGAGAAGACAAGGGUGCUCACCCUCUCAAAGAGUGGUAAAGAUUAAGUUAAAAAAUACUAUAUCACAAAAAAAUAGGUGAUAUAGUAGUUGUCCCAGGCGGUCCUGACCACUUUUAUAACAAAAGGAGGCGUGUCCAUCAGCGCACACCAUCUCAAAUACAUGCACAUACUGAACUUUGGGCUAAGUCAAGACAACGCCCUUUGUCGAAAAAGGAAGCAGCUGUCUCCAAAUAUAAAGAGGGCUGCAGGGGCCUGGUCUCUGCAUCUUCCAACUCUACAGCAGGGCCUGGAGAGACGAAGGCGAAGCAAACUAGAAGUGCUCGCUCGGCCCUGGUCGCCGGAGGACACAGGUUCUAGACCUGAAUUUAGGGUCGCAGACUUGCGGUGCUAACGCCUGAGGGUUCCCAGGGUUUCCCGCUCGCUUUCACAGACCACCACAAGCUUAAGACCGAGAAUCACUUCCCAGGAUGGCCUGGGAUACUCAGUGAUGAACCCACGGUGACCUGGUGCUUCCUGCCCCGAGACCUGACAGCCUCAACACUCUGGGUAAAGUAAAUUAAAAACCCGGACAACUGGAGUCUUUGAGAAUGAAAACGACAUCGGGAUUCCAGACAGCUGACUCGCUCAGAGCUCCAACUGGGUGUACGCACGGCGAGUAAAGCCAACUCCUACAACGACACGUCACCGUGCUGGGCCGCUUCUUGGCUGGUGGGCGGGGCGACCCCUACUUCCGGAUCCGGCCUCUUCUGGGUAACGCCUCACCUGCGGUUCCCUAGGUUACCUGAUGGCGGGAGGGGGCGGGGUGGGCGGGGGCGGGGCGAAGCUUUCCAACUCUGGGUAGCCAGCUCCUGGUUGGUGAGGCUCUUCCCGACUAGAUUAAAGGGAAAAACGCAACUUUUUUCAGACUACUGAUAACUCUGACUGGAGCAAAACCUGAGGAAUAUGUUUUUUUUCUAUGUUCCACACGGCAUUUGACAAUUCGGAGAAGCUGAGGAAAGAGAGGGCUUUUUUGUUUGUUUUUUUUUCCAACAGGGUAGAGAAACCUGGCUGUCCUGGAACUCACGCUGUAGACCAGGAUGGCCUCGAACUCAGUAAUCCACCUGCCUCUGCCUCCCAAGUGCUGGGAUUAAAGGCGUGCGCCACCACUGCCCAGCGAAAAGGGCUUCUUUGGUUUGGUUUGAUUUUUGUUUUGUUUUUUUUGUUAACCAUGGAUAUGGAUGACGAAAACGGUCAGAUGAGCAAUGAACAAUUCAAUAUACGCUGACCUUUAUACUCAAAAUGGUUAAGAUGAUAAAUUUUAUUAUGUAUGAUUUGCCACAGUUAAAAUCGAAAAUUCUCCCCCCCCCACACACACUUUUCUGCUGAAAUAAUUUAGAUGUCUGUUUUUCUGAAUUUCUCACACUAUAUGAAUGAGAUGGCCAGAUUUAACAAAUAUACAGGUACCCAUUAAUGUUUUAAUUUCAGAUGCUCAAUCAAAUAAUACACAGGAAAUACAAGUAUAUUACUUGGCCAUCCUACACAUGGGUGGAGGGUAAACUGAUAGGAAAGUGCCUUAUACUUGAAAAGAACGUGCAUUGAUUUUACUAGCUAUGUGCCUGUAAAUGAAAGAGUCUUUGAGAUUUUCUUUAGAAGGGGAAAAAAAAUCUAGAUCUUCAUUUCCUGAUAGUAUAUCAUCAAUGACAGGUCAGAAUAUCAUACCCAAAAUAUUCCAUUUGGGCAUAAAAGACAACACUGCGUUAAAGGCAGCAGAAAACUAGUGUGCACAAGAUGGUCCUCUUUUGUGUCUAAGCAGAAUAGAGAUUUGCCUUUAUAGAAGUAGGGGGAGAGCCUGCUGGGCGAGGCCUGCAACCCCAUCUCCUUGGGAGGUUGAGACAAGGAUCACAAGUUGAAGACCUGCCUAAGGUGCAGAUCCCUGAGUCUGAGAACAGCUUGGGAAACGUAAUGAAACUGUCUCAAGAAGUUUAAAAAAAAAGGAGGGAGUCUUAGUGUAUAGUGUUGACCUAGCAUGUGUUAGGUCCAUGAUUAUUUGAAUCAGAAGCACCCACCCCACCAACUAAAAAGACUUGAAACAAUACUAAAAUAUAUAUAUAUAUAUAUAUAUAUAUAUAUAUAUGAUAAACUGUAGCAAUCAACUCUAAUCUACCACACAUUUCCUCAUUGCUGCCCCACUGUACUGCCUGUGGAUCAAAACCUGUUUAAACUAGUCACCUCUAUACAAUGCAUGGCUGCUGUUAAAACAGGAAAUGUCCCUGAGACUUGCUUCCAGAACAGCGUCAGGAAAGACUGCUGAUCCCAGAUGACCUUAACUCAGCCAGCCAUUCAAACCAUCCCAAUCAAGACUUCAGUUAAGGCCUGAACUUUCUGAACACAGAGACAGGACAACAAAUGAUGCCAGCUAGCUUUCUUUCCACAUUACCGUUUUCCAAUUCCCUUUUGGGUC